rnacentral:rRNA from 1 species
GAUGAACGCUGGCGGCGUGCCUAAUACAUGCAAGUCGAGCGAACAGACGAGGAGCUUGCUCCUUUGACGUUAGCGGCGGACGGGUGAGUAACACGUGGGUAACCUACCUAUAAGACUGGGAUAACUUCGGGAACCGGAGCUAAUACCGGAUAAUAUUUCGAACCGCAUGGUUCGAUAGUGAAAGAUGGCUUUGCUAUCACUUAUAGAUGGACCUGCGCCGUAUUAGCUAGUUGGUAAGGUAACGGCUUACCAAGGCAACGAUACGUAGCCGACCUGAGAGGGUGAUCGGCCACACUGGAACUGAGACACGGUCCAGACUCCUACGGGAGGCAGCAGUAGGGAAUCUUCCGCAAUGGGCGAAAGCCUGACGGAGCAACGCCGCGUGAGUGAUGAAGGUCUUCGGAUCGUAAAACUCUGUUAUUAGGGAAGAACAAACGUGUAAGUAACUGUGCACGUCUUGACGGUACCUAAUCAGAAAGCCACGGCUAACUACGUG